CGAGCCCUGGCUCAAUAUUUAGGGCGUUUGACUUCUAACCAAAAGGUCACGGGUUCGAGCCCCAGGGGUCAC
rnacentral:tRNA from 1 species